rnacentral:rRNA from 1 species
GAUGAACGCUGGCGGCGUGCCUAAUACAUGCAAGUCGAGCGAACAGAUGAGGAGCUUGCUCCUCUGACGUUAGCGGCGGACGGGUGAGUAACACGUGGAUAACCUACCUAUAAGACUGGGAUAACUUCGGGAAACCGGAGCUAAUACCGGAUAAUAUAUUGAACCGCAUGGUUCAAUAGUGAAAGACGGUUUUGCUGUCACUUAUAGAUGGAUCCCCGCCGCAUUAGCUAGUUGGUAAGGUAACGGCUUACCAAGGCAACGAUGCGUAGCCGACCUGAGAGGGGGAUCGGCCACACGGGAAGUGAGACACGGUCCAGACGCCUAAGGGAGGCAGCAGGAGGGAAUCUGCCGCAAUGGGCGAAAGCCUGACGGAGCAACGCCGCGUGAGUGAUGAAGGUCUGCGGAUCGUAAAACUCUGUUAUUAGGGAAGAACAAAUGUGUAAGUAACUAUGCACGUCUUGACGGGACCUAAUCAGAAAGCCACGGCUAACUACGU